AUACAGAGGGUGCGAGCGUUAAUCGGAAUUACUGGGCGUAUAGCGCGCGUAGGCGGCUUAUUAAGUCAGAUGUGAAAUCCCCGGGCUCAACCUGGGAACUGCAUCUGAUACUGGUAAGCUAGAGUUUUGGAGAGGGAAGUAGAAUUUCAGGUGUAGCGGUGAAAUGCAUAGAGAUCUGAAGGAAUACCAGUGGCGAAGGCGACUUCCUGGCCAAAAACUGACGCUGAGGUGCGAAAGCGUGGGUAGCAAACGGGAUUAGAAACCCUAGUAGUCC
rnacentral:rRNA from 1 species